AACAAUAUUUAUAUCGCGAUGCUUCUCCUAAGCAAUCGAAUUGUACUACACAAAGUCCCCAUUAAUGCGAGAAGACACGAGAAGAGAAUAUCUGCAGGUAAAACGACUAAUUUUCAAUGAGGCCCUAGCUUAACAAGUCAUGAUGCAACGACAAACGUGUACGUAACUAUGAAGCAAUAGGUAGAAAGAUAAGACGAGUUCUUCAACUUAUUUCAAACAUUAUUCAAACCGGCGAGUCUCGUGUAAUCUGCAUAAACCGUACUAUCAGUCAGUUCUUCAGCUUUCGCCAUCUUCUUCGCAUCUUCUUCGUCGAUCCACAUUGCGAAAUGGAACCGCAUAUCGUCCAGCAGGAUUGUUACAGACAAAAUGAUGUCAAUUUUCCUAAUCGCCAGUCCAAUUUUAAUAUACGACGUAUUGAUAAAUCCAAGUUUUGAAAAAAAGAAAGAUAUGAAAAAGGUACUUCCUAAGAGUCUAUGUUUCUCAAUAAGUUAUGGCACAGUGACUGGAUAAAAGAAGAAUGCAGACUCGGGUCUUGGCCGAUCAGAAUUUAAUCG